rnacentral:rRNA from 1 species
UACGUAGGGGGCAAGCGUUGGUCCGGAUUUAUUGGGCGUAAAGAGCGUGUAGGCGGUCCGGUAAGUCCGCUGUGAAAGUCGGGGGCUCAACCCUCGAAUGCCGGUGGAUACUGUCGGGCUAGAGUGCGGAAGAGGCGAGUGGAAUUCCUGGUGUAGCGGUGAAAUGACGCAGAGUAUCAGGAAGAACACCCCGUGGCUAAGGCGGCUCUCUAGUACGGUACUGACGCUGAGACGCGAAAGCGUGGGGAGCGAACAGG